UGGUGGCCCAAUGUAGCUUCUGCAGCUUCUCCAACUCCCAGAGACCAUCAUCUUGUUCCUUUCGGACUCGCUUGAUGGUCUCUCUCUUCUAUUGAACCUGAGCCUCAUGAAAUUUGGCAGACUUUUGAGCCAUCUCCAACUCAACUUUUGUAGAUUUCAGUUCAGCUUUUAUCGACUCCAACUUGACCUUCAAGUUGGAGGUCUCUUCUUGAUGC
rnacentral:lncRNA from 1 species